GAUUUAUUGGGCGUAAAGCGAGCGCAGGCGGUUGCUUAGGUCUGAUGUGAAAGCCUUCGGCUUAACCGAAGAAGUGCAUCGGAAACCGGGCAACUUGAGUGCAGAAGAGGACAGUGGAACUCCAUGUGUAGCGGUGGAAUGCGUAGAUAUAUGGAAGAACACCAGUGGCGAAGGCGGCUGUCUGGUCUGCAACUGACGCUGAGGCUCGAAAGCAUGGGUAGCGAACAGGAUUAGAUACCCUGGUAGUCCAUGCCGUAAACGAUGAGUGCUAGGUGUUGGAGGGUUUCCGCCCUUCAGUGCCGGAGCUAACGCAUUAAGCACUCCGCCUGGGGAGUACGACCGCAAGGGUGAAACUCAAAGGAAUUGACGGGGGCCCGCACAAGCGGUGGAGCAUGUGGUUUAAUUCGAAGCUACGCGAAGAACCUUACCAGGUCUUGACAUCUUGCGCUAACCUUAGAGAUAAGGCGUUCCCUUCGGGGACGCAAUGACAGGUGGUGCAUGGUCGUCGUCAGCUCGUGUCGUGAGAUGUCGGGUUAAGUCCCGCAACGAGCGCAACCCUUGUUACUAGUUGCCAGCAUUAAGUUGGGCACUCUAGUGAGACUGCCGGUGACAAACCGGAGGAACGGUGGGGACGACGUCAGAUCAUCAUGCCCCUUAUGACCUGGGCUACACACGUGCUACAAUGGACGGUACAACGAGUCGCAAGCUCGCGAGAGUAAGCUAAUCUCUUAAAGCCGUUCUCAGUUCGGACUGUAGGCUGCAACUCGCCUACACGAAGUCGGAAUCGCUAGUAAUCGCGGAUCAGCAUGCCGCGGUGAAUACGUUCCCGGGCCUUGCACUCACCGCCCGU
rnacentral:rRNA from 1 species